GCUCUGCUGAGGAGUCCCAUACCAGGACGAAACGGCCGUCCAGUGC
rfam:Schistosoma margrebowiei strain Zambia genome assembly, scaffold: SMRZ_contig0002161